AUUGAACGCUGGCGGCAGGCCUAACACAUGCAAGUCGAGCGGAUGAAGGGAGCUUGCUCCUGGAUUCCGCGGCGGACGGGUGAGUAAUGCCUAGGAAUCUGCCUGGUAGUGGGGGAUAACGUCCUGAAACGGGCGCUAAUACCGCAUACGUCCUGAGGGAGAAAGUGGGUGAUCUUCGGACCUCACGCUAUCAGAUGAGCCUAGGUCGGAUUAGCUAGUUGGUUGGGUAAAGGCCUACCAAGGCGACUAUCCGUAACUGGUCUGAGAGGCUGAUCAGUCACACUGGAACGUAGACACGGUCCAGACUCCUACGGGAGGCAGCAGUGGGGAAUAUUGGACAAUGGGCGAAAGCCUGACCCAGUCAGGGCGCGUGUGUGAAGAAGGUCUUCGGAUUGUAAAGCACUUUAAGUUGGGAGGAAGGGCAGUAAGUUAAUACCUUGCUGUUUUGACGUUACCAACAGAAUAAGCACCGGCUAACUUCGUG
rnacentral:rRNA from 1 species